UGCACCGGGGCUCGUGGUUCGCAUUGGGGGCUGAGAGGGACUCAUAAAGAUGUAAGAGGGGAAGAAACUUGGCAGAAAGUAGUUGCUUUCGUCUGCAGAAAGAGGCCCUUUAGCCCCCAAAGAAGCUGCUCUUUCCCCCCAUUCCCUCCCACCCCCCAAAAGUUAACGGCGCCACACCUGCCUUCCCCAGAUGCUGCUCCCUGCGUAAACGCCUCCUCAUCCUCCAGGAUUUUCCAACGCCGGCGCAAGCUCCUCCCUCGCGGGAGCCGAGUUGCUGUCCUAGCGCCAAACGCCCGCCCGAGCAGCGGCUGGGGGGCGGCGGGGAGUGGGCCCGCCCGCCUCCAUUGGUUGUGCGGACCGGAGGGGCGGAGGGAGGACGCGCGGUGCGGCCGGCUCAGCGGCCACAGGCUCACUCGGGCUGCGCCCGCUGCCCGCCCCUGCGCCCGGCAUUCCCGCGGACGGCUCCGCGGGCGCGCAUCGCCGAGACGCGGACGCCCUCGAGGAGCUCGGCGCGGUCCCCGUCCCACCCGAGCUCCAGAGCGCAGUCCGGGAGGUCGGCGCGUCCGGACUCGCAGUGUCAAUGGACAUCUGAUCCCCUGCUGCCUUUGUUUGAAAACCAAGAAGUUUUGUUGUGCUGAUUUAACUACCUGCAAUUUUUGCUGAUGCUCUCAUGAAAAAAAAUGCUGAUUCUGUCCUUUUUGACCCCCGUGUGAAACUUUGACUUUUCAUACACUUGUUCAUUCUUUUACCCUCCAUAAAGAUGUCUGAACCUGACUCUUCAUCUGUGUUUUCGGGCAAUGUGGAAAAUGGAACUUUCCUUGAGCUGUUUCCCACAUCCCUGUCCACAUCGGUGGACCCGUCCUCAGGCCACCUGUCAAAUGUCUACAUCUAUGUGUCCAUUUUCCUCAGCCUUCUAGCGUUUCUGCUUCUGCUUUUAAUCAUUGCCCUCCAGAGGCUCAAAAAUAUCAUCUCCUCCAGUUCCUCCUACCCGGAGUACCCAAGCGACGCCGGAAGUUCUUUCACCAAUUUGGAAGUCUGUAGUAUUUCCUCUCAAAGGUCCACUUUCUCAAACCUUUCAUCGUGAAGAAAAUGGAAGAGUCCCUGCAGGCUGCAGAGCUUAGGUUUUCCCUCACAGGAAAUGUCACAUGAAGCCUUUGCCUCAUGAAAGAAAUGAGCCUUUUGUUUUUGUCAACUAAUUAGGCCUGUUUCUCCUUCUCCUUCACCCCUGAUUUUUUUGUUGUUGUUGCUCAUGAUGCUUUUCAUUUGUGAAUGUAGAAGCUGAUGCUGACAGAAAUGCCUGCAAACCUCGAGCUGCAGAAUUUCACACAAACCACUGGAAUCCGGAGCUGGCUUCUUCAAGCUCGGUCGGUUCAUUCCACUCUGUUGGACACCUGAGGCAGAAGUCACCUGAGGGGACCUUGCAGUGGAUGGUGGAUAUGGACUCUGUACUUCAUUUCUCUUACAAAACCGUGAAACCGACUCAGCCAGCAGAACCUGGCAAAAUUAAGUCUAAACUAUUUAGAAGAUAUUUUCCGUAUUUAAAAGAUAAAGUGGAAACACCGAAUUAAAAAAAGAGUCAAUUUAGAUUUAAUGUGUAACAUUUUUAAAACUGGAAGGAAAAUAUGCUAAAUGUUUAUUUAUUUUCACCUUAAGUGGAAAUCACAUUUAUUGAUGAAUUAAGUCAUAUUUGGAAAGGUUUUGGAAGAGUUUAAUUUUUCAUAGCUAGGCAAAUAUGUAUUAUGAUGCAGUUUGUAAUGUAUUUCUGCCUCUUGGGGUUUUUUUCCUACUUAUGUUGUAGUCAUAAGGCCCCACAGUUGUGGAAUUCUUUGUGAUAAUUGCUGUUACUAUUACUAAGAGAAGCACCAGAAGGGACACCGAGAUAUUUUUAUUUUAUAGCUAUACUUUCCAUCAGCAGGAAUUAAGCAUAUGGAAAAUAUUCAUUCAGUUGUGUUUUAUACAGUAAUAAUUCCUAGCAGUCAUGCAAGUAUGUUCCGUUAUUCAGUUUCAUAGUCUUUAUAAUUUUAGUGCAGAAUUAUAUUAACUCUGAGAUGUUAGAUGUUUGUUCACUCACAUUAGGUUGCAAAACUUAGAGACUAAAUUGUUAAUAUACGUGUUGUUAUAUACUCCAUGAAUGUUACAUGUCGCUGAUAAUUAGUUGUUGUAUGUUAACAUAAUACUCUGCAUAAGGACUCCAGGACACGCGUUUAUAUUAAAAAUUGUAGACACUCAAGUUGUGUGGCUGCUGGGAGCCACCCUACUGUGGUCAGCCACGCACCUCCGAAUUCAGGGCCUUUGUCCAUGAAAUGAGGCAGGCAGUGAGCACAGACAUGGAAUGUGGAGGAAAUCAAGCUGCCUCUAAAAACAAAACAAAGCAAGCAAACUAAGGCUUCUUAAGACUAAGAAUUUUAAUUUAAUUUUAAAAGUAAAUGGCCCACAGCAUAAACACUGAACUUAUUCAGCCUCUGGAGCCCACUCCACCGACAUGCCCCUGUCUUCCCAUGGCAACCGGCUCUCUCCUCUUCCAAACAUUUCCUAAACUUAGGUGGUGGAGCUGCAGUACACCCUCUGGUUCGAUCAUGUGGCCACAUUAUCCAGUAACUGGAAUGGGGUAAACAAUCCACCAUCUUACAGGGUAUAUCUUUGUCAUUCUAAACUACUGAGAGAGAUGAGGACUGGUAAUGAGGAUCAGAAGGUUUCUUUUUGUUAAUCCAUAAGUCUCACUUAAAUCACACCACACUGGACUAUUUAUAUAUCAAAAAUGUCCGCAAACACCAUAGACCUGCACAGAGUUGCUGCCCUAAAAUGGAUAAUUAGUGAAAAAUUUGCCUCUGCUGCCAUUAAAGAGUGGCAGUGUUAUCAGGGGACUGUUAGUUACCGUGCAGUAUAAAUCCUGGACUAGAAGAGCUCUCCUGUUUUAGAUCAUUAUUAGCAUUCUCUGAAUGUGUUUGUACAUACACACACACACACACAUUCUCAGAAUAUAUGUAUACAUUCACACACUCCCAAUGAAAAGUUGUGUGAAAGCUACACAGGAGUACAGAGGCAUCUAUGUUAUCGCUUUUGCUUUUUGAUUCAUCUUGUGCUAUUUUGGUUACUGAGGAAGAGAGGGCAUGGAGGAGGUGACUUUAAAAACUAAAAGAACAAGUUUGCCACACAACAGGACAGUCUGUAGGGUCUGUUCUAAGAGGCGACUUUAUACGCUUUCCUUCUGGAAGAGAUAUAAAGGCUUCGGGAAGUAAAAUUAUUUUUUUAAGAGUCUGCUGGCACAUCCCCUCCCCUGCCUGCCACAGUCGUUCUUGCUGUCAAGGUUCAGCAGAGUAAUUAGUAGCAACAUUCCAAGAUGUAAAACGGGAUUUGUCAUCACAAGCUUGCCAAGAUAACAGAUUGUACAACUUGAGAUGCAUUUGCGUUGUUUAAGGAGUUCAGAAAGGUUGGAAGACUGGCUUAUAAAUAAAGAAGUAGAACCUACUGAAAGACUGGUUCUU
rnacentral:lncRNA from 1 species